ACAUGCAGUCGAGGGGCAUCACAUGAAGUAGCAAUACGGAUGGUGGCGACCGGCGCACGGGUGAGUAACACGUAUGCAACCUGCCUUCAACAAGGGCUAACCCGUUGAAAGACGGACUAAUACCCUAUAACACAGGGGUCCCGCAUGGGAAUAUUUGUUAAAGGACAACCGGUUGAAGAUGGGCAUGCGUUCCAUUAGCUAGUUGGCGGGGUAACGGCCCACCAAGGCAACGAUGGAUAGGGGAACUGAGAGGUUUAUCCCCCACACUGGGUACUGAGACACGGGACCAGACUCCUACGGGGAGGCAGCAGGUGAGGAAUUAUUGGGUCAAUUGGACGCAAGUCUGACCAGG
rnacentral:rRNA from 1 species